rnacentral:miRNA from 14 species
CAGUGUGCAUAUGUAUGUGUGCAUAUGCAUGUGCAUUUGUAGGGCAUGCAUACACAAUGUGCAUUUA